UCUUCCUUGUGUCCUACAGGCCUGCAGCCGGGAGUACAAGUCCAAUUUCCACCUCAGUUUCCUGCUGCUCCUGUAGAAGGUAUUGGAGGUGACAAUAGGACAACACGUCAUCUACAGCUCUGAGGUUUUUAUCCUUCAUUUGAGCAUCACUGUAACAGAGGUGCCAAGACAAUACCUGCACUUUGCUCACAGGACAAUUUUGCUCUACGUGCCUAGAUUCUGCUCGAAGUACUUUUCAUGAGUACUCUGUCCUUUAAAAAAAAAAAAAUUACAAAAAUACUUCAAAAAAAAUUAGUUCUGUCUUCAGUCGACUAUAUAGG